rnacentral:misc_RNA from 1 species
UCUCCGUUGGUGAACCAGCGGAGGGAUCAUUACCGAGUUUACAACUCCCAAACCCCUAUGUGAACGUUACCAAACUGUUGCCUCGGCGGGAAAUUCAUGCCCCGGGCGCGUCGCAGCCCCGGACCAAGGCGCCCGCCGGAGGACCAACCAAAACUCUUUUGUAUGUCCCUCGCGGACUUUUAUAAUUCUGAACCAUCUCGGCGCCCCUAGCGGGCGUUUCGAAAAUGAAUUAAAACUUUCAACAACGGAUCUCUUGGUUCUG